rnacentral:piRNA from 1 species
UCCACUUCCUGGAGCCUCGAGAAAGCCCCUUG